GCUGGGCAGAGAUUUCAAGCUAACUUUUAGGUCAAAAUCAUCUUGCACCCACACAAACAAUUAAGAAGAAAAUUAUCUGAAAUCCAUUUGCAUGAAUUACACUGGAAACAAAUUUUACUCAAUACAGAAUGAAUUAUUCCACCAUAAAAUAGAAGGAGGUACUUCUUAGAAUAAACUACUUUGCAUCUUUUAGCUGUCAGCUUGCUCUUUUAAACUAUUAUUACUCACUUGUCUCAGCCUGCCUACUGUUGUGUCCUUAAGUGCUCUGGAAUCAUCUUGCCUGGAUAUAGUCUUGUCUAUCUGUGUACGCAAUGUAGUGUGUGUGUGUACGUAUGUUUAGUGUAUAUGUUGUAUAUAGGUGUAUAUAGGAGUGUAUCUUUGUUGUAGCUCAGUGUCUUCAUCCUUUCUACUUCCCAGUGGAAGCUCAAGGCUUUUUCCUCGCUGCACUUCUGAGUUUUGACCUAGCAGUAGUCACUGGGGCACUGAGAUGACUUUGUUUUAUGUAUUUUAAAUCGAAAAGGGCAUUUGUGUCAGCACUGCGUGAAGCUGCAAAAAAUGAGAUGACCUUGGAGAGAGGGAAAUCGUAAGGCCCCAUAUAUGUUGCUUUAAAUGUAGGCCUGGGUGUGUGGGACAGGCCCUCUUUUGCCAGGCGGGCAGCCAGGACUAGCACUGCCAUUACUGUGUGGUGAGAGCUGAAACCCCAUUAUGCCUUAAGCAGGAGGAAGUCUGAUGCACAGCCCUGUGGCUGUGCCAGGCAUCCCUUGCUCCUGGGCAGAGCUGUGUGUAAAGCUGGUACACUCCUGGUGGAGCAGCCUAUCCUCUCUAACCAUGCGUGGCACACCAUAUUUUUCAGACUUGCUUCUCUGAAAGCUCUGCCAAGAGGUCUGCCACAGGGGUAUCUCUGCUGCAGGGGCUGCCUCUGGAGAUGCAGGUGGUGUUACCAGCCCUGCCUCAGCAACAGUGAGAACUUGCAAGUCCCCUGGCACGGCUAGAGCCUGCUGGGUCAGCAUUGCAUCUCCAGCCCAUGGCCUCAGCACAGCAGGGUAUUGUGAGCAGUACAGUGCUCUGCCCCUGCCCUCUGUGCUCAAGGAUAAAGCCUUCCAAGUGGGUGAAACAAAGAGAAUGUGGCUGUUCUGCUUCAGGAUGAAUCCUUUAAUGUGAAGGAAGAGGGGACCAAAGAGAAAGCAAUUUCCAACAGCCUCCUGUGUGUGUGGCCAGACCUCACUUCCAAUCACUCUUCACUCCACAUAAGUAUUUCUAGUGAUUUACAUGGCUUAAUCGAGGGUGUCUUCAGUUGCCUUUCCCUUCCUGUGUUUUGGCCUUGGGCUACAGGCCUCCCUGAGAACCUUUCCUCCUGAUUUCUGAGCCCCAGCUCAAUCUGCUGUGUUGGUGUUGGCUUCUUCCCAACGCUGCCAAUGCUGACUAUGCUUCUUAUUUAUCCCAUUGGACACCAUUAAAAUAAAAGACCAGAAAUCAUUUUUAGGCUGUUCAGCAGAUUGGUGCUGUUUGUAUCUAAGGCUGUCAUAGUCUCAACCCAUAUGCCAAGGUUUAAUUGGAAGCAAUAAUCUUUUGAGUUUACUCUGACUUUAGGAAGAAACAGUUUUAUUCUUCUAACUUUAUUUUUUUGUUCUUUUGUUUGUUUUUUUUUUUUCUCUGAGCAUCUGUUUCUGAAUGCAGACUGCCUGCAUUAGCUCCUCUGCCCACCUGAGUCCCUCCUCCUGCUGCUAGGAAUCGCAACUGCCUAGUGGGAUGGGGCAGGAGGGUUGCUUGAUAGAUCUCUUCCAUCUUUCAGCUGGCAGGAAGAUGGUGAUUCACCUCAUCAGUUUUGACUUGGAGCAUUUUUGUACCCCAGAUGUGUGUUCCCAGCAUUCUCUAGUUGGCUGCACUUCCUUGGAAGCAGAAGCUAUGGGGGAAUGUGAUAGAGACAUCCAAGUUCAGCAGCAUAAGAGCUAUGUAAAUGUGACUGUAGUGAUGCUGGCUCAAGCUGAAUAUCCAGCUGUACUGCAUCACAUGGAUUUAUGAGCCUGAGUCUCCACUAGCUCAUGAAUCUCUGCUCUUGAUCUGUUGCUUGAUGUAGGCACGCACAUCUCUGCAGAUGCCUGUGUUCAGGGGUCUGGGCUCAGACGGCUAAAACUUUCUGUACCUUACCAUUUCCAGCACUGAUUUCCAGCUCUGACUGGCAAAGAGCCCAGCAACCAUGUCACAGAGGGCUUUUUGCGCUCGUUUCCUUCACUGACUUGAUUUUUUUAGUCAUUUCAAAGUUUUGAACCCUCUAAAUUGUUGGAUGACCUGACCUGCUCUGCCUCUUUGAAGCAUUCUCCCAGGAAAAAAAGUGGGCCACUGUGAACAUCAAAAUACAAAGUAGGAUGUAAAACUCCCAUCAUCUUAAUGUCAUGAAAUAAACUCUCAAGCAAGGCUUUUCUUAGGGACGUGCUUUGAAAAUGAUGAGCGUCAUGAGAAAACCCAAAUGAGCGAUGAUGGAGUAACUUAAGUUAAUGAUGUUAAUGUUGAGAUUGGCUCUUCUAGAUGAGCAGUAUUUUAGAAAACCUAAUCUAACAGUUCCUGAUAAACCCUUACAUACAGAAUCUUGCUUUGUUCUGUUUCCAGGGUAAUCCUGGCUUCCUCAUAUUACAACUAUAAAGCUGGGCAUGCAGUAUUUUUAAUAAGUACUUAUAUCUUGGUUCAAUAAAAAGAUAUUUCAGGAUAAUUUGCACAUUGCAGAGUCUUAUUUCAGUGUUUUGUUCCUUUUUCCUCAAGUCAGGUUAUAAGAUGAAAGGAUACACUGCAGCUAAAACAGUGUUGUCAAGGAGAGCCAUCUAGAUAGGAGCUGAUGAGAUCUUGACUAAGCUUUUCAAGGCAGAGCUGUUUGUCAGUCAGGUUCCUCUUUGUGUGUGUGUUGGAGGAGUGGCACUAAAUUAACCGUUCUCCAUGAGUUAAAAAUGACACACGCGUCUAAUCCUGAUGUCCUAUAGCUUGUUGCUAUAGAACUUGCCCAAACUAGUGGACAAUAGCAUGCUGACUAAACACCCUAUAAAUGACUUGUUUUAGGCAACUUGUGCAAUAUGUGUAGCAAUUCAUGGCUCUGGAGUGCACGUAGUACUUAAUAAACAUGAAGUAUUAAUAGCAGUGCAAUACUAGCUUUUUUCUUCCUGUGAAGCCUACUAAAGAUUAUUAUAUCUCUGAGGAUCAUGGACCAUAUUUCUGUAACACUGGCUUAGAAUUUGUCCUAGAGCAAGACAGCGUUGUAUUGCAUCUAAUUGCUAACAGAUGGGAAUGGAUGGAUGGACCCUGGCAUCUACUGAAGGAGUAGGUCCAUCUGGCACAGUUCUGGUGCUUCUUGUGGCUGAGGGCCACGGUGGCUGGCUGGGGAGCUGAUGUGGCUGAAGGAUGUGGCAGAAGUACUGGCUGUUCCCUGAACAACAUGGUGUAUUUCAGAAAAGUGGGAAAAUGAAAAGAGAUGUGUUUUAAUCUGUGCACUGUACAAAGCUUCCUGUGACAAAUUUUAUUUCACCUGCUGAAAUUGCUAUGCCAGUAGAAGUAUAUUUCUGUUAAAGGUAUUCAUGUCCUCCAAGUAGUACAGCUUCCUAAUCUAGGCAAAGCCUGAGGUGCUUGAAAUAAGGUGUUUUGGGGGAAAAAAAAAAAAAGCAAAUCAAAUAAACAAAGAAAAAUUAGGCCACUGACCUUGUUUCCAGAACCAGCCUCAUGCACUCCACUGUUUCUUCUUUUCAGUGAGCCAAUCUAUUUCCUACCGUAUUUUUAUGAGCCCUGUAACUUCUACAGGACAAGACAGGCAGGUGACCUGAAAUGUAGAGGGGAGUCCCUGUCCUAACGCAAGUGUGCUGUCAAUGAAGGAUUGCCAGUAAAAAGAAGUUAGUCUUAAUGUUUUUCUCUUCGAGGGUAUCUUAGUGCUUAAGCCGCCAGCAGGACUGUCAAGUCACACUUACUCGCCUUUAAGCUUUCUGAAUACAUUCAAUGAGAAAAAAAACAGCCAGUGUUUUUAUUACGGGUUGCCAGCAUAAAUAUUUAAAACAUCCCCUAUCUCAUUCCUCUAAUCCCGGAAAGAUUGCUUCUCCUAGAGACUGGAAGGCAGGUACUCAUGUUUGUAAAUAAAAGAUCGUCUCAGAGAUCAGAGAACUGUGUGUUUUACUGCGUUCUGUGACUAAUUGAAAGAUAAUGCAAAAGAAAGGGAGGUGGGAGGAGGUGGGACAAAAGAGAACAAGAGAGAGUACAUGUGCGCAAGUCAACCACAAGCCAUUAUUUCCCUGCUGCCGGGGGCAUGGAAAGAGAGGGUAUAUAAAUGUGUGUUAGCUGAAAGGGAAUAAAGCCCCAAGACAAAACUGUUUAUAACCUGCACGUUAAGUCAAUCUGAGCCUAUCAGCGGUGGAGGUUAAGGUCUUAUUUUGCCCUGCUGUUGUGGCUCACUGAGUUCUCUGAAGGAUGGCAUGCUGGGCACAGGCCGAGGCUGCAGCACACACCAGCGAGAUGAGGGGGAGAACCACAGACUUGUCCUUCUUCACAACGUACCUCACAACCCCGUGUUUAGGGGCACGGCAUUGAUUACACUCGCAGACAUCAGGUAUUUUGACCCGAUCCAGACAAGUGGAGAAGACCAGAGGGAGCCAAAGGAAUAAACGCAGCUGCAGUACUCAGCAGCUGCACCUGGGAAAACACGGAGAGCUGAUUUAGCAGUAGAGGCAUGGGAUGGGUUUGCUGCACUUUACAAGUCUUUAUUCCCUACUUUUCGAUUCCCCAUUGAAGAAUCCGACCUCUGCAUGAAAAAGUCCUCCGGACAGCGCUGGCAUAGAGCACUGGGCAAAAUCAAAGCGUUUACAACAUCUAUAUCUUUGAAGUGCCUGCUUAAUAGAGCCGUUGUCAUGCCGGUUGGAGGCAACACUUCUCUUUGCAAGUGAAAGGCUCAGCGGAGCUGGCUGAUAAGCGCUGAUGUCCCGCUGUGAAAUUGACCCUUUGAACUGGGAAGAAUCACUCCAGAUAAGCACGUAAUGGAAUUUUUAUCUGGUCUGGCUUUUUAUUGCAGCGUGUUUAGAGUUGCCAGUCUUUCUAUGCAGCAAAAGCAUUUUCUCCUUAGCUCUUGUAGGGGUGUGGAUAGCACGAUAGUCACCUUUUAAAGAUGCUGCUUUCGGGCUGGGAAGAAACAGCCACGUCAUGCCUUACUCUUACAGGAACAGAAAGGAAGCAGUGACAAUACAACCUAAAUAACAAGCAUGUGUUGAUUUAAGAACUGAACGUGUGAAAGGCUGGGCUUCUGAAAUCCCAGAGGAACAGAGGAGUAGCAAGGAUAUUGGCAGUAUUGUUGAAAGACAGGUAAAAAGUUAUGUCACUCUUAUCUAUUAAAAAAAAA